GUGAGGCUUCCCCAGCCAUGUGGAACUGUCGUUCCAGUUUCCUUAUCUGUAAAAUGGGGGAAACAAUAGUGUUGACCUCAAACAGUUGUGGUGAAGAUGAAAUGAGAUAUUUCACAUGAAGCUCAAAGAACGGUGACUGACCUACACGGGCUGGAACGGCUUCUAGAAGGAACACAAAGAGACGCGGAGAAGCCACUGAAGAAAGAAAGAAAGGAGUAGAGGCUGGGAGCAGGGGGCGGCG